rnacentral:rRNA from 1 species
UACGUAGGGUGCAAGCAUUAUCCGGAAUUAUUGGGCGUAAAGAGUUUGUAGGCGGUUUGUUAAGUAGGAGGUUAAAUCUCUGGGCCCAACCCAGAAUCUGUCUCCUAAACUGACUGACUAGAGGUAUGUAGAGGCAAGUGGAAUUUCUGGUGUAGGGGUAAAAUCCGUUGAUAUCAGAAGGAACGCCAAAAGCGAAGGCAGCUUGCUGGACAUACCUGACGCUGAGAAACGAAAGCGUGGGGAGCAAACAGG